GGACGUAUGGUCUAGAGGUAUGAUUGCUGUUUUGGGUUUGCUCUUGCUCCCAUACGCAUACAGCGGGUCCCGCGUUCGAACCGCGGUACGUCCC
rnacentral:tRNA from 1 species